rnacentral:RNase_P_RNA from 1 species
UGAGUAAGACAGACGGUCGCGUGGCGGCGGCGAAAGCCCCGUCAUGAGGAAAGUCCGGGCUCCAUAGGGCAAGGAUAACGGGUAACGCCCGCCGAAGGCGACUUCAGGAAAAGUGCAACAGAAAUAAACCGCAGACCGCGGCAGGCCUCCGGCCGUCCGCGAUCUGUAAGGAUGGAAAGGCGAGGUAAGAGCUCACCCAUCGGCUGGAAACUGUCCGAUGCUGUAAACUCUAUCCGGAGCAACACCGUGGGAGAACACAUAAACCGGCCCGGUUGUUCUCAAGGAGGUGGCUGGAGCGGUCUGGCAACAGACCGCCUAGAUAGAUGACUGUCAAAUACAGAACCCGGCUUAUAGUCUUACUCACUGU